UUGGAGGGCAAGUCUGGUGCCAGCAGCCGCGGUAAUUCCUGCUCCAAUAGCGUAUAUUAAAGUUGUUGCAGUUAAAAAGCUCGUAGUUGAAUUUCGGGGUCAGUAGGUUGGUCAUGCCACUGGUAUGUACUGGUCUCACUGAUUCCUCCUUCCUGAUGAGCUGUAAUGCCAUUAAUUUGGUGUUGCAGGGAAUCUGGACUGUUACUUUGAAAAAAUUAGAGUGUUUAAAGCAGGCUAACGCCUGAAUACAUUAGCAUGGAAUAAUGAAAUAGGACGUUCGAUCCUAUUUUGUUGGUUUCUAGGAUUGACGUAAUGAUUAAUAGGGAUAGUUGGGGGCAUUAGUAUUCAAUUGUCAGAGGUGAAAUUCUUGGAUUUAUUGAAGACUAACUACUGCGAAAGCAUUUGCCAAGGAUGUUCUCAUUAAUCAAGAACGAAAGUUAGGGGAUCGAAGACGAUCAGAUACCGUCGUAGUCUUAACCAUGAACUAUGCCGACUAGGGAUCGGAUGACGUUAAUUUUUUAAUGACUCAUUCGGCGCCUUACGGGAAACCAAAGUGUUUGGGUUC
rnacentral:rRNA from 1 species